GACCAUGCUUACCAGUCCACUAGUUACCCGUUUAGUUCAUUCCAUUUCAAGGUAGGUUUAUGAAAAUCAGGGUUCAUGAGUGAAACAAACCAGACCAAGCUCCGGUUUUUGAUUAAAUUAGUUUGAUUUUCAAAACCAUGAUUAAAAUAUACAACACAUUUGGUGCAUAAAUAUUAAUUUGCUAAUUCCUAAUUCUAAAGCUAAAAAA
rnacentral:misc_RNA from 1 species